UCUCUUCCUCUUCUUCUACCUUCUGUCGGCAGACAGUUCUACUCCGGAGGGUUCAGGUGCUGGCCUGUCCGUGGGGCUCUGGAGAAUACCCCUAACGUGGGUCAGGGCUGCUCAUUCUUCUCCCUUCAUGACUGUGUCAGUCCAGGUUCUCUGGGGGACUGAGGGAUAUAUUCCCGGGUGGAUGUGACAUCUGGAAGGAAGAUCCUUAUAUUAAUACCACAUUGGGGAUGACACCAACAAAUGGAGGAGUGCAGAGUCAAAAAAAAAAAAAAAUCUCAAGAGAAUGGAACUCAGAAAACUGGAUUAAGUCUGUCCCAACAGGUGCACUACUUUUGGACAUCCAGCAAUGGGAGUCAUGUCAUUACUUGUUGUUUAAAUCACUUUCUGUUACUUACAGCCAGAACCUCUUAGUGAGAAAAUGCCCUGCCAAGUUUUCUUCAGAAGUACCCUCGACUCUUUCCAUUCUUCCCCAUUAUAAUUGUCAUCUCUUCAAUGCACAUCUACUACUGGCACUGUCCUAGUAAAUUUAUAUACCUUCAUUCUCUCCUCUUUCUGAUUCAUCUUU